GAGGAGCAGGCUGUUGUGCUCUCCUCUUUCCCCUCCUUGGCGGGUGGAGGAGGCCGAAGCGGUGCUGGGCGCUCUCCCCCUUCCUCUCCCUCCGGCCACCUCCCCCGGCCCUCUCGCGCUGCGCGGUCUCUCCGACGCAAGACUGUCCCAGCCCGGAUAUGGCUCGUGGACAGCAGAAGAUUCAGUCUCGGCAGAAAAAUGCCAAAAAGCAAGCUGGACAAAAGAAGAAACAAGGACAUGACCAAAAGCCUGCUGCCAAAGCUGCCUUGAUAUAUACCUGCACUGUUUGUAGGACACAAAUGCCAGACCCUAAGACCUUCAAGCAGCACUUUGAAAGCAAGCAUCCUAAGACUCCACUUCCUCCAGAAUUGGCUGAUGUUCAGGCAUAAAGUUGUUUACAGGUGAAUUCAUGACACCUUUGACUCUUCUACUGUCUCAGAACUUAGGUAACAAACCUGCAGCUGCUUUUCUAGCAAACUGUUGAUCAGCAAAAAUAAAGGUGCUACAGAAACACUCAUUUUUAUGCUGUUCCCUUUCAGGCUUCAUGCAAAGACAAUUCUGUGUAAAUGUACAGUUGACUCUGAUUUGGAAAUCUGAAAAUCAGUCCAUCCUUGUUAUAAAAAUUUUUUUUACAAUUGUAAUUAUAUUGAUGUUCAUAUUGUGUAAAAUAACUCAUUUAAUAAAGUAGUACUUUGAUUUUA